rnacentral:ncRNA from 1 species
CAAGGAGUCUCAUUUGUAGGGCAUUUGGAUAAAAUGAAGUGUGUGUAAUGUGUCAUGCAUUAGACAUCAUGUGCGUUUGUGAUUGGGAUUGGAGAUUGCAGUUAUUCCCCAUGAAUGAGGAAUUCCCAGUAAGUGUGGGGCAUAAAUUCACUUUGAUUAAG